rnacentral:rRNA from 1 species
CAUACAUGCAGUCGAGCGGACGAGGAGUGCUUGCCUCCUGAUUACCGGCGGACGGGUGAGUAAUACGUAGUAACCUGCCCUUAAGACAGGGAUAACUCACGGAAACGUGGGCUAAUACCGGAUAGGCGAUUUCCUCGCAUGAGGGAAUCGGAAAGGCGGAGCAAUCUGCCACUUAUGGAUGGACCACGCGCAUUACUAGUUGGGGGGACGGCUCACCAAGCGACAUGCGUACCGACCUGAGAGGGUGAUCGGCCACACUGGGACUGAACACGGCCCAACCUACGGGAGGCACAGUAGGGAAUCUUCCGCAAUGGACGCAAGUCUGACGACACCCCGCGUGAGUGAUGAAGUUUUCGACAAAGCUCUGUUGCCAGGGAAGAACCUAUGGAGAGUAACUGUUCCUAGUGACAGUACCUGAAAGAAAGCCCCGCUAACUACUGCACCCGUAAUACUAGGGGCAACGUUGUCCGGAAUUAUUGGGCUAGCGCCCGC